rnacentral:rRNA from 1 species
AGCGAACGCUGGCGGCAGGCUUAACACAUGCAAGUCGAACGGGCAUAGCAAUAUGUCAGUGGCAGACGGGUGAGUAACGCGUGGGAACGUACCUUUUGGUUCGGAACAWCACAGGGAAACUUGUGCUAAUACCGGAUAAGCCCUUACGGGGAAAGAUUUAUCGCCGAAAGAUCGGCCCGCGUCUGAUUAGCUAGUUGGUAGGGUAAUGGCCUACCAAGGCGACGAUCAGUAGCUGGUCUGAGAGGAUGAUCAGCCACAUUGGGACUGAGACACGGYCCAAACYYCUACGGGAGGCAGCAGUGGGGAAUAUUGGACAAUGGGCGAAAGCCUGAUCCAGCCAUGCCGCGUGAGUGAUGAAGGCCCUAGGGUUGUAAAGCUCUUUUGUGCGGGAAGAUAAUGACGGUACCGCAAGAAUAAGCCCCGGCUAACUUCGUGCUAGCAGCCGCGGUAAUACGAAGGGGGCUAGCGUUGCUCGGAAUCACUGGGCGUAAAGGGUGCGUAGGCGGGUCUUUAAGUCAGAGGUGAAAUCCUGGAGCUCAACUCCAGAACUGCCUUUGAUACUGAGGGUCUUGAGUAUGGGAGAGGUGAGUGGAACUGCGAGUGUAGAGGUGAAAUUCGUAGAUAUUCGCAAGAACACCAGUGGCGAAGGCGGCUCACUGGCCCAUAACUGACGCUGAGGCGCGAAAGCGUGGGGAGCAAACAGGAUUAGAUACCCUGGUAGUCCGCGCCGUAAACGAUGAAUGCCAGCCGUUAGUCAGUUUACUGACUAGUGGCGCAGCUAACGCUUUAAGCAUUCCGCCUGGGGAGUACGGUCGCAAGAUUA